AAAGGAAUAGACGGGGGCCCGCACAAGCGGAGGAACAUGUGGUUUAAUUCGAUGAUACGCGAGGAACCUUACCCGGGCUUAAAUUGCGCUGGCUUUUACCGGAAACGGUAUUUUCUUCGGACCAGCGUGAAGGUGCUGCAUGGUUGUCGUCAGCUCGUGCCGUGAGGUGUCGGCUUAAGUGCCAUAACGAGCGCAACCCUUAUCUUUAGUUACUAACAGUUUUGCUGAGGACUCUAAAGAGACUGCCGUCGUAAGAUGCGAGGAAGGUGGGGAUGACGUCAAAUCAGCACGGCCCUUACGUCCGGGGCUACACACGUGUUACAAUGGGGAGCACAGCAGGUUGCUACACGGCGACGUGAUGCCAAUCCGUAAAACUCCUCUCAGUUCGGAUCGAAGUCUGCAACCCGACUUCGUGAAGCUGGAUUCGCUAGUAAUCGCGCAUCAGCCACGGCGCGGUGAAUACGUUCCCGGGCCUUGUACACACCGCCCGU
rnacentral:rRNA from 1 species